rnacentral:rRNA from 1 species
UACGAAGGGAGCUAGCGUUGUUCGGAAUUACUGGGCGUAAAGCGUGCGUAGACGGUCAUGUAAGUCGGGUGUGAAAGCCCCGGGCUCAACCUGGGAAUUGCAUUCGAGACUGCGUGGCUAGGGUGCGGAAGAGGGAAGCGGAAUUUCCGGUGUAGCGGUGAAAUGCGUAGAUAUCGGAAGGAACACCAGUGGCGAAAGCGGCUUCCUGGUCCAGCACCGACGUCAGGCACGAAAGCGUGGGGAGCAAACAGG